UUUCCGUAAGUGAACCUGCGGAAGGAUCAUUAUUGUAUAACCGAGGUGCGAGGGCUGUCGCUGACCCGACAGGUCGUGCACGCCCGAGUGCCCUCGCACACAUCCAUCUCACCCCUAUGUGCACCACCGCGUGGGUCCCCCUUUGGCUUGUUCGGAGGGGGGCUUACGUUUUCACACAAACUUUGUAUGCAGUGUAGAAUGUAUUUUUUGUUUUUGCGAUCACGCAAUCAAUACAACUUUCAACAACGGAUCUCUUGGCUCUC
rnacentral:misc_RNA from 1 species